rnacentral:rRNA from 1 species
GUGAGAAGGGGGGGGAUGACGUCAAAUCAGCACGGCCCUUACUCCGGGGCGACACACGUGUUACAAUGGUAGGUACAGAGGGGCGCUAUCCAGCGAUGGAGUGCGAAUCUCAAAAACCUAUCUCAGUUCGGAUCGGAGUCUGCAACUCGACUCCGUGAAGUUGGAUUCGCUAGUAAUCGCGCAUCAGCCAUGGCGCGGUCGAAUACGUUCCCGGGCCUU